UAACUAAUUUUUUAAAUUUUGAAAAUUUAUUUAGAGAUUUUCUCUUAGUUAA
rnacentral:tRNA from 1 species